rnacentral:rRNA from 1 species
CGCUAGCUACAGGCUUAACACAUGCAAGUCGAGGGGCAGCAUGGUCUUAGCUUGCUAAGGCCGAUGGCGACCGGCGCACGGGUGAGUAACACGUAUCCAACCUGCCGUCUACUCUUGGACAGCCUUCUGAAAGGAAGAUUAAUACAAGAUGGCAUCAUGAGUCCGCAUGUUCACAUGAUUAAAGGUAUUCCGGUAGACGAUGGGGAUGCGUUCCAUUAGAUAGUAGGCGGGGUAACGGCCCACCUAGUCUUCGAUGGAUAGGGGUUCUGAGAGGAAGGUCCCCCACAUUGGAACUGAGACACGGUCCAAACUCCUACGGGAGGCAGCAGUGAGGAAUAUUGGUCAAUGGGCGAGAGCCUGAACCAGCCAAGUAGCGUGAAGGAUGACUGCCCUAUGGGUUGUAAACUUCUUUUAUAAAGGAAUAAAGUCGGGUAUGGAUACCCGUUUGCAUGUACUUUAUGAAUAAGGAUCGGCUAACUCCGUGCCAGCAGCCGCGGUAAUACGGAGGAUCCGAGCGUUAUCCGGAUUUAUUGGGUUUAAAGGGAGCGUAGAUGGAUGUUUAAGUCAGUUGUGAAAGUUUGCGGCUCAACCGUAAAAUUGCAGUUGAUACUGGAUAUCUUGAGUGCAGUUGAGGCAGGCGGAAUUCGUGGUGUAGCGGUGAAAUGCUUAGAUAUCACGAAGAACUCCGAUUGCGAAGGCAGCCUGCUAAGCUGCAACUGACAUUGAGGCUCGAAAGUGUGGGUAUCAAACAGGAUUAGAUACCCUGGUAGUCCACACGGUAAACGAUGAAUACUCGCUGUUUGCGAUAUACUGCAAGCGGCCAAGCGAAAGCGUUAAGUAUUCCACCUGGGGAGUACGCCGGCAACGGUGAAACUCAAAGGAAUUGACGGGGGCCCGCACAAGCGGAGGAACAUGUGGUUUAAUUCGAUGAUACGCGAGGAACCUUACCCGGGCUUAAAUUGCAGAUGAAUUACGGUGAAAGCCGUAAGCCGCAAGGCAUCUGUGAAGGUGCUGCAUGGUUGUCGUCAGCUCGUGCCGUGAGGUGUCGGCUUAAGUGCCAUAACGAGCGCAACCCUUGUUGUCAGUUACUAACAGGUUCCGCUGAGGACUCUGACAAGACUGCCAUCGUAAGAUGUGAGGAAGGUGGGGAUGACGUCAAAUCAGCACGGCCCUUACGUCCGGGGCUACACACGUGUUACAAUGGGGGGUACAGAGGGCCGCUACCACGCGAGUGGAUGCCAAUCCCCAAAACCUCUCUCAGUUCGGACUGGAGUCUGCAACCCGACUCCACGAAGCUGGAUUCGCUAGUAAUCGCGCAUCAGCCACGGCGCGGUGAAUACGUUCCCGGGCCUUGUGCACACCGCCCGUCAAGCCAUGGGAGCCGGGGGUACCUGAAGUGCGUAACCGCGAGGAGCGCCCUAGGGUAAAACUGGUGACUGGGG